UCAUGUACCCAUGGGUUUAUUGGCUUACAUGUUACCAAUUUUUCUCCAAUCAAGCCAAUCUUUGCUGCCACAAGACAUUCCUCUAAGUCACUAACUCAUUUUCAAAGACUACUCAAGCCAAAAACAAGAAUUCUUACUGUUUUUUACUUGAAUCACCAAAACCAAGCUUUUUCUUUCUUCUCCUCCUAGGGUUUAGAUGUGCUAGAAAUUGGGGUUAAAGGUUGUAAAUUUAGUGCUCAAGAAGUUUGGAGAAGAAAGGAAAAGAAAACAUGGAAAGGAAAAUGAAGAAAACUUGGUUUCAUGGUGGACAAAGAGAAAAUGGCAUGGAAGCUUCAAGAAUGGUGUGG
rnacentral:lncRNA from 1 species